rnacentral:rRNA from 1 species
UACGUAGGGUGCAAGCGUUAAUCGGAAUUACUGGGCGUAAAGCGUGCGCAGGCGGUUUUGUAAGUCUGUCGUGAAAGCCCCGGGCUUAACCUGGGAAUUGCGAUGGAGACUGCAAGGCUUGAAUCUGGCAGAGGAGGGUAGAAUUCCACGUGUAGCAGUGAAAUGCGUAGAGAUGUGGAGGAACACCGAUGGCGAAGGCAGCCCCCUGGGUCAAGAUUGACGCUCAUGCACGAAAGCGUGGGGAGCAAACAGG